AGCUUUGCACAUCUGACAUGUUCCGAAGUGAUUGAAACUGCACCUUAACAGAGGAGAGAUCGGAGGCGUUACAGCCACACGGAGAAGCUGCAUACUUUCAUGAGGGCUUGAAGGGAGAUGUGGUUAUUCUGCAAUGCUUUUCUGUCUGGUUGAGAAGACUGGUGUUUUAUCUCAACAUGAUGAUCUUGAGUUUGUUUGCUUUUUCUGCUACUAUUAACAUAAGCAACUAUGCGGGGUGAAACAGAGAAGAGGCUGAAGGAAAGACACAGAAGCAGGAGACAAAUUCUGCUUGUCUAACGCUUGCAAACAGUUCUGCAGA